CUGGCAGGCAGAGAAUGGCUUAUCAGGGUUCAACAUGGUUCCAGUUCCAUCAUUUCAAGCCACGGAUAUUUUGGUGGAAGCACUUGAGAGGCAACAUACUGUAAGACUCACUGGGGCAAGGACCAGUGUCUCUUCUGGAAUAAAGCACCAGAAAAGCAGCUGCUCAGAAAGUGUAUGCUGACUUCUGUGGGCUCUCAAAUGAUGAAUCAUGUUCCUGAUGAAACAUGUGGAAGGAAGGAUGGAAGAUGUGGAAGGAGAGGAAGAAUACAGGAAGAAGAAAGAAAUCAUGAAAGUGAGAAACUAGAAGAACAGGUAAGAAAUUAUAUAAGCCGAUACCUCG